rnacentral:misc_RNA from 1 species
ACAAUUACAUGAAACACCAACCUCCAUAGAUCCUCAAUCCUAGUGAUAAUUAUGUUGAUAAUUGAAAUUUGGUAGAUACGCAAUAUAAAUGGUAAAAUCUCCAUGAAAGAGCACAACAAUAAUAAUUAUCUGUACUAACAGCAAAGCAACAUAUCCUACUAAAGGACCCAGUCAUUGGAUAGCAAUCGAAAUUGCAAAACAUUUAGUUUUUACGUUUUGGGGAAUUUAUAUGGUUUGUCUCUUUAACUACUUUCUUCCUACCAUGUUGUUUAAAGAUAUUAAAGAUAAGUCACAAUUAUACGUAAGGAUGAUUUAUGAUAAAAUUUUAUCAUGCCAGUAAAAUUCUUCAACCAUGAAUGCAGAUAAACUUAAAUAAUUAGCUUUAGCUUUAUGUUAUUUGAAUUUAGAUAGACUAUUAAAUUUAUUUGAUUUUUGAUGAAUUUUUGUUAUUUUUGCAUCUCGCCUCACUCAAGCGUGCACCUUGUGCCAUGCACUUAGCCACUUACGCUCUAGGACCAUUCGGCACCUUGGGUGCACAUUACACCUGUAAUAACUAUGACUCAGACUAAACUUUCCAUAAGGUCAUCGAAUGAGAGUUCUUACAGUGGGAACAGAGUCAUCACCACAGGCAAAGCUCCUGGGUGGUCCAAACUCCAAAUGCCAAAAUUUGUUGAGAUUUUAGUGGAUUGAGUUUUGAGUAAAAACUGACCUGAUUAUAUCUCAACUUCUAGUAUCAAAUUUACUGGUCAACUAUUAUUUGCAUGACUUCAAGACAUCGAAAAGUAUCAAUUCAUAAAGACAAAUCACAAUAUAA